CUUUCUUGAAUUUGUACAGAAAGUCCUUCACAAGGGACCACUUUUUUGUACACAGGGGACCAAGAUGUCAAAUUUUAACUUUUUGGCAAACUUUGCAUGGGUUUUUGAUUUUUUUGGUUUUAAGAUGUGUGUUGGGGGUGGAAAGUUGAUUUUGGGGACCCCAAAUUCCAUUGAGGAAGGUCUUGUGUUCACAAAAAGUGGUUGGAUGAAAUCCAGAGUCAAGUGCAUUGAAAAUGAGUGGUGUAAACGUUUACCAAUAGGUGGUAAACGUUUACGUGAAUGCUUUCUUGAAUUUGUACAGAAAGUCCUUCACAAGGGACCACUUUUUUGUACACAGGGGACCAAGAUGUCAAAUUUAAACUUUUUGGCAAACUUUGCAUGGGUUUUUGAUUUUUUUUGUUUUAAGAUGUGUGUUGGGGGUGGAGAGUUGAUUUUGGGGACCCCAAAUUCCAUUCAGGAAGGUCUUGUGUUCACAAAAAGUGGUUGGAUGAAAUCCUGAGUCAAGUGCAUUUAAAAUGGGUGGUGUAAACGUUUACCAAUUUACGCGAAUGCUUUCUUGAAUUUGUACAGAAAGUCAUUCACAAGGGACUACUUUUUUGUACACAGGGGACCAAGAUGUCAAAUUUUAACUUUCUGGCAAACUUUGCAUGGGUUUUUUAUUUUAUUGGUUUUAAGUUGUGUGUUGGGGGUGGAGAGUUGAUUUUGGGGCCAAAAAAAUAACAAUAUGGUGAUUUCACCCAAUGACAUUCAGUCCAAAUAACAUUAAACAUAUAUUUUAUUAAUAGAAAAACAAGUACAGCAAUUUAAAAUACAUUGAUUAUAACGUUUAACUUUCACAUCGAUAUUGGAUUGUUCUUAAUACAGCUACAUCCAUUUAUGUAAACUUCUACUUUAAUAUCAUGGUUGUGAUGGUGAACCUCGAAGUCAACAAC
rnacentral:lncRNA from 1 species